ACCCGAGGGGGGGGGGGGGGGGGGGGGGGGGGGGGGGAAAAAGGGGGCUUUUUUGGUUUUUUUAUUUUUUUGGGUUUUCCCCCCCCCUUCCUUUCCCCUGGGCCCCCAUUUUUCCCCCUUUUUCCCCCUUUUUCCCCCUUUUUCCCCCUUUCCCCGGGGCCAAAAAAAUUCCCCCCCCCCCCCCCCCUUUUUUUGGGGGGGGGGGGGGGGUGGGUUUUUGGGGAAAUUUUUCUUUUUUUUUUUUGGGGCCUCUUCCUCACCUCACUUAUCUUCCCCCGCCUCCUUCCUCCUCCCCUCUUCCCCCUCCCCCUCCCCCUCCUUCGCAACCACCUCGGAGCCUCUCGCGACUGGCCCUUUAAGAGGAUAUUCCGUCCUCUCUCCGCGCUCCUGCCCCCGGCCGGCCCCACAGCCCGGACGCGCUUUCACCGGAUCAAGUUAUUUGUAUGGAUCUUAAUCUUCUCAGUGGGCAGUUUCACAAGAGAGGAAGAGCAGAGAGAACCCUUAUUCCUGGACCUGGAGUGAGUUUGUCUCACAAAAGAGACAAACAAUGAGAACUGAAAAUGUUUGAGACCCUUGGGCCAGGCACUGAGCAGGAUAAAGUCAGUUAAUCAUUCAUUCAACAAACUGUAACCUUGCCCAGUUAGGCAGACCUCAAAUGACUUCAUUGGGGAAGCAGGGGGUGGGAGCAGGGGCGGGGUUCCUUGCUGUUUUUCUUGCCAAGUACUUUAUCCAUCGGAUCCUGGGUGCUCCAGGGGGAAGGUGAAAGAGGCAGGUCCCUGCCCGUCAGGGCUUUAGCUAGCCCCUAUAAUCUGUGGCCUGCCAUUUUCUCUCUCUGUUUGCUCCAUCUGUUCAAUUCUUGAUUUUGCAAAGUAUGAGUUCAUUUUUUAAAAAAUUUUACCUCUUUGAAGGGACACAGCAUUUUGUCUUUGUAUCCCAGCACCUAGUAGAGUGCAUGACACAAACUGGCAUUUAAUAAGUACUUAUUUCUUUUUACUUGUAUUUACGCUUUUUAAAGCUCUCUAUAUACUUAAAUUUGUACUAGUUGUUUCUACUGUGAGAAUGUAAGCUGCAUGAGGCAGGUAUUUCAUUUCCCCUUUAUAUCCCCAGUGCCUG
rnacentral:lncRNA from 1 species